rnacentral:rRNA from 1 species
AGUGAACGCUGGCGGUAGGCCUAACACAUGCAAGUCGAACGGCAGCACAGUAAGAGCUUGCUCUUACGGGUGGCGAGUGGCGGACGGGUGAGGAAUACAUCGGAAUCUACUUUUUCGUGGGGGAUAACGUAGGGAAACUUACGCUAAUACCGCAUACGACCUACGGGUGAAAGCAGGGGAUCUUCGGACCUUGCGCGAUUGAAUGAGCCGAUGUCGGAUUAGCUAGUUGGCGGGGUAAAGGCCCACCAAGGCGACGAUCCGUAGCUGGUCUGAGAGGAUGAUGAGACACAAGGGAAAUGAGACAGGGUACAGACUCCAACGGGAGGCAGAAGUGGGGAAGAUGGGACAAUGGGCGGAAGGUUGAACCAGCCAUACCGCGUGGGUGAAGAAGGCCUUCGGGUUGUAACGCCCUUUUGUAGGGAAAGAAAAGCAGAAGGUAAAGAACCCGCUGUUCUGAAGGUACCAAAAGAAAAAGAACCGGCUAACUUCGUG